rnacentral:rRNA from 1 species
GAGUUUGAUCGUGGCUCAGAACGAACGCUGGCGGCAGGCCUAACACAUGCAAGUCGAACGCUCGUAGCAAUACGGGAGUGGCGCACGGGUGAGUAACGCGUGGGCACCUGCCCGGUGGUUUGGAAUAACCGCGGGAAACUGCGGCUAAUACCGAAUACGCCCCUAGGGGGAAAGAUUUAUCGCCAUCGGAUGGGCCCGCGUAGGAUUAGCUAGUUGGUGAGGUAACGGCUCACCAAGGCGACGAUCCUUAGCUGGUCUGAGAGGAUGAUCAGCCACACUGGGACUGAGACACGGCCCAGACUCCUACGGGAGGCAGCAGUGGGGAAUAUUGGACAAUGGGGGCAACCCUGAUCCAGCCAUGCCGCGUGAGUGAUGAAGGCCUUCGGUUGUAAGACUC